ACCACCGUACUAUUAUCACUCUCCUCCUCCUCCGGUUAAGUCUCCACCUCCACCUUACUACUACCACUCUCCUCCUCCGGUCAAGUCUCCACCUCCACCCUACUACUACCACUCUCCUCCUCCCCCAGUUAAAUCUCCACCGCCGCCAUACUAUUAUCACUCUCCACCACCACCAGUCAAAUCUCCUCCACCUCCAUACUACUACCAUUCACCGCCUCCUCCGGUGAAAUCACCACCUCCACCUUACUAUUACUCAUCUCCACCACCACCAAAAUCUUACCCUCCACCAUAUUACUACUCAUCUCCACCACCACCACCAAAGUCGUACUCUCCACCAUACUACUAUUCAUCACCACCACCUCCGGUGUAUAAAAAGUAUGAGAAGAAGAGAACACAGAGAUAGAUAUCA
rnacentral:lncRNA from 1 species